rnacentral:rRNA from 2 species
UGAACCAGCGGAGGGAUCAUUG